rnacentral:rRNA from 1 species
UAGGGAAUAUUGGACAAUUGGGGCAACCCUGAUCCAGCCAUGCCGCGUGAGUGAAGAAGGCCCUCGGGUUGUAAAGCUCUUUUGUCCGGAAAGAAAAGCUUCGGGUUAAUACCCCGGGGUUCUGACGGUACUGGAAGAAUAAGCACCGGCUAACUUCGUGCCAGCAGCCGCGGUAAUACGAAGGGUGCAAGCGUUACUCGGAAUUACUGGGCGUAAAGCGUGCGUAGGUGGUUGUUUAAGUCUGAUGUGAAAGCCCUGGGCUCAACCUGGGAAUGGCAUUGGAAACUGGGCAGCUAGAGUGCGGUAGAGGGUAGUGGAAUUCCCGGUGUAGCAGUGAAAUGCGUAGAGAUCGGGAGGAACAUCUGUGGCGAAGGCGACUGCCUGGACCAGCACUGACACUGAGGCACGAAAGCGUGGGGAGCGAACA